UGGGGAAUAUUGGACAAUGGGCGAAAGCCUGAUCCAGCCAUGCCGCGUGUGUGAAGAAGGUCUUCGGAUUGUAAAGCACUUUAAGUUGGGAGGAAGGGCAGUAAGCGAAUACCUUGCUGUUUUGACGUUACCGACAGAAUAAGCACCGGCUAACUCUGUGCCAGCAGCCGCGGUAAUACAGAGGGUGCAAGCGUUAAUCGGAAUUACUGGGCGUAAAGCGCGCGUAGGUGGUUCGUUAAGUUGAAUGUGAAAGCCCCGGGCUCAACCUGGGAACUGCAUCCAAAACUGGCGAGCUAGAGUAGGGCAGAGGGUGGUGGAAUUUCCUGUGUAGCGGUGAAAUGCGUAGAUAUAGGAAGGAACACCAGUGGCGAAGGCGACCACCUGGGCUCAUACUGACACUGAGGUGCGGAAGCGUGGGGAGCAAACAGG
rnacentral:rRNA from 1 species